AUGGCAGGUUGCCUUGGCAAAGGCGGGCUGCCUCAGGAUUGGCCGACUACCUCCGUCGUGGCAGGCUGCCUUGACGAAUGGGCGACUUCCCGUGGCUCCAAUCGCCAGCCAAAAGGGCACCCGGACCAGUGUAUUUUGUACGGAGAACCGCAGCUCCGGGGCGCCCACAAAGCAGCUGCGAGGGGCAAAGCAGCGGCGUUGGCCCAAACAGCCCCGCUGGCGACCGUGGAGCUCCUCCGCCUGGGAAUUGCCUAUAAACAAAAUGAAAAAGAUUUUUGCCUCGGCCGCCCUGCAGGCCGGUGGCUGCACCACGCUGGGUCCCGCGCUGUUGCGGGCGGCCUCCUGAGGAGCCGGGCGCCUCGGGGGAGCGCUGGGGCGAGCCGUCCACUGAGCGUGUCAGCGCGGGCGCAGAGCAGCUCAGAAGAUGAAAAUAACAGUCCACUUUGUAAACCGUGAUGGUGAAACAUUAACAACCAAAGGAAAAGUUGGUGAUUAUCUCCUAGAUGUUGUGGUUGAAAAUAAUCUAGAUAUUGAUGGCUUUGGUGCAUGUGAGGGAACCCUGGCUUGUUCAACUUGUCACCUCAUCUUUGAAGAUCACAUAUUUGAGAAGUUAGAUGCAAUCACUGAUGAGGAGAAUGACAUGCUCGAUCUGGCAUAUGGACUAACAGACAGAUCACGGUUGGGCUGCCAAAUCUGCUUGACAAAAUCUAUGGACAAUAUGACUGUUCGAGUGCCUGGAACAGUGGCUGAUGCCAGACAAUCCAUUGAUGUUGGCAAGACCUCCUGAACUAGAACAAAUAGGAAUAUUUUCAUGGAAUUUUACCUAUUUUUAUAAUUAUUAUUUCUUAAUAUCAUUAAAUGAGAACAUGGAUGAGUGGACUUUGUAUUAUGACUAGCUUUACUAUUUUAAUUCACCUCAUGUAACUACUGAAUUUUGUAGUUCUUGAAAGUAUGCAAUUUUUAUUUUGAUUAUAUUACAAAAAUGUCAAUCAAGUAUUAGAAAAUAGUUAAUAUGAUAAAAAAAACUGACAUUUUUUUCCUUAUGUUUGUUUAGUGACUUUAGCAAAAUGUUUUCAUAUAAUCUCAUCUGUUUACCUAGAAGAUAGGUUAA